UUAUCAUUGGAGUUUAAGGAAGGUGAGACCCUCAUCGGAAGGUUUUAGAGGGGAAUUCGAAAUGGGGAAGAUCGCUUUUGAAUGGAAAGAUUUUAAAAAAAGGAAAUGAAGAGAAGAAAAAAGGAAAUAGGAGAAUUUUCUUUUUUGAAAACAAAUUUAGGUCUUGAGGGAUGAUAUAGAUAUGUGAGAAAAUGAAAAGAAUAAAGGAGAGGGGGCACGCAAAAGAGGAUUCUGAGGAUUUUUGGGGAGUGAAGAACAGAGGAAAGAGAAAAAGAGCAAUUGCAACCAAGGCUAUCCAGGUAUUUUGUCCAAGUGAAGUUGGACUACAUGGAGAGGAAUCUCGGAAGGGAAAUGGAGUAACGGAAAAACUAUGAGCAAAUUCGAUACAAUAUUAUGGAAGCGUUGGCAGGAGAAACCUGGAAUGUCAUAUGUCUUGUCAUUAAUUUGAUUGGUUGUCAAUAAGGGGUUUACUUCACCCUAAUGUUUUUUUGUGAAGCAUGGAACUUUAAGGUUUCUCUUGGAGGAACUGAAGUUCUUGGACUCUUUCAUAAGUGCUAUUAACCAUACUUCUUGUUCCAACAAUCAAAUGAUGCAUAGACUGGCACCUUUGAAGUAAGAAAUUGAGAAUGGAGUUCGAAUGUUGCUCUCUGAUCCUCAAAUUCUAUUGACACUACUUUUCUUCACUAAGUAGUCAAUCCACAAUUCAAGAGUUGGGUUUGAAAAGGAAAAGAAGUUCCGAAAAUUUUAUUGUGCAUAAAAGAAA